UACAGAGGGUGCAAGCGUUGUUCGGAAUUAUUGGGCGUAAAGCGCGUGUAGGCGGCUUUGUAAGUCAGGUGUGAAAGCCCUCGGCUUAACCGAGGAAGUGCGCCUGAAACUGCGGAGCUUGAGUACCGGAGAGGGUGGUGGAAUUCCCGGUGUAGAGGUGAAAUUCGUAGAUAUCGGGAGGAACACCAGCGGCGAAGGCGACCACCUGGACGGCUACUGACGCUGAGACGCGAAAGCGUGGGGAGCAAAC
rnacentral:rRNA from 1 species